rnacentral:rRNA from 1 species
AACGAACGCUGGCGGCAUGCCUAACACAUGCAAGUCGAACGAAGCCUUCGGGCUUAGUGGCGCACGGGUGCGUAACGCGUGGGAAUCUGCCCUUCGGUUCGGAACAACAGUUAGAAAUGACUGCUAAUACCGGAUGAUGACGUAAGUCCAAAGAUUUAUCGCCGAAGGAUGAGCCCGCGUAGGAUUAGCUAGUUGGUAAGGUAAAAGCUUACCAAGGCGACGAUCCUUAGCUGGUCUGAGAGGAUGAUCAGCCACACUGGGACUGAGACACGGCCCAGACUCCUACGGGAGGCAGCAGUGGGGAAUAUUGGACAAUGGGCGAAAGCCUGAUCCAGCAAUGCCGCGUGAGUGAUGAAGGCCUUAGGUUGUAAGACUCUUUUACCUAGGGAGUGAUAAUGACAGUACCUGGAGAAUAAGCUCCGGCUAACUCCGUGCCAGCAGCCGCGGUAAU